rnacentral:rRNA from 1 species
GUGCCAGCAGCCGCGGUAAUACGUAGGGUGCGAGCGUUGUCCGGAAUUACUGGGCGUAAAGGGCUCGUAGGUGGUUUGUCGCGUCGUCUGUGAAAUUCCGGGGCUUAACUCCGGGCGUGCAGGCGAUACGGGCAUAACUUGAGUACUGUAGGGGUAACUGGAAUUCCUGGUGUAGCGGUGAAAUGCGCAGAUAUCAGGAGGAACACCGAUGGCGAAGGCAGGUUACUGGGCAGUUACUGACGCUGAGGAGCGAAAGCAUGGGUAGCGAACAGGAUUAGAUACCCUGGUAGUCCAUGCCGUAAACGGUGGGCGCUAGGUGUGAGGGUCUUUUCACGACUUUCGUGCCGUAGCUAACGCAUUAAGCGCCCCGCCUGGGGAGUACGGCCGCAAGGCUAAAACUCAAAGGAAUUGACGGGGGCCCGCACAAGCGGCGGAGCAUGUGGAUUAAUUCGAUGCAACGCGAAGAACCUUACCUGGGCUUGACAUAUACAAGACAGGCGUAGAGAUACGUCCUCCCUUGUGGUUUGUAUACAGGUGGUGCAUGGUUGUCGUCAGCUCGUGUCGUGAGAUGUUGGGUUAAGUCCCGCAACGAGCGCAACCCUUGUCUUAUGUUGCCAGCAUUUGGUUGGGGACUCAUGAGAGACUGCCGGGGUCAACUCGGAGGAAGGUGGGGAUGACGUCAAAUCAUCAUGCCCCUUAUGUCCAGGGCUUCACACAUGCUACAAUGGUCGGUACAACGCGCAGCGACACUGUGAGGUGGAGCGAAUCGCUGAAAGCCGGCCUUAGUUCGGAUUGGGGUCUGCAACUCGACCCCAUGAAGUCGGAGUCGCUAGUAAUCGCAGAUCAGCAACGCUGCGGUGAAUACGUUCCCGGGCCUUGUACACACCGCCCGUCACGUCAUGAAAGUUGGUAACACCCGAAGCCAGUGGCUCAAACUCGUUAGGGAGCUGUCGAAGGUGGGAUCGGCGAUUGGGACGAAGUCGUAACAAGGUA